GAAAAGAAAACUGAAUAAUACUCUAUUUUUCUACAAUGAAUCUAGAAGAAAAAGAAAAGACCAAAUAUAGGAUUACUUGAAUGAGACAAAAAAGAUGGAAUUUGGAGGACAAGACAAGAGAUACUAAGAAGAGUAAACCCAAUAAACAGACUGCAGCACAGAAAGGGUCCAGGACCAGGGAGGUGGCUUGUUCAGGAAAGAGUUAACUCAACAGGUCUGGGAUAUUCAAAUCCCACACAUUUCGAAAAAAAGUUCUCUCCUCAUUGGCUCCUGGGAGAAAAUCUCUACGUCUUUGGACUAUUCUUCCAGAUUGGAGACUGAAAAGAAGAGAAGUUAAGGAACUUGUCUAAGAUUAUCAAGCAAAAAUUUAAAGCUGAAGUUUCAAUAUUUUCUCAGAAAACAAGAAAAGUUAGUGAUCUCAUUAUAGAAGGACUAAAAGCCUGCAAAGUAUAUUUUUGUUAACUCCAAAGGACAGACUUUCAGGGCAGUUUACCAGGAGACAGCUUUUACAAUGAGUGCACUGGCAAGAGGAAGGAAAAAGCCAUUUUUGCUGCUUCAUGUGUUGCCUACACAGAGACUGUUACAGUGGCUUCAGCAGAGUCAGUGGUUGUGUCAACAGCAUCUGGAGCAGAGAGGGCAAGCUUAGUUCAUAUGAAGCAGCAAUAGCAACAGAAGAAAAGGCAGUGACAUCACCCUCAGCUUGUUGGAGAGAGGCUUUCAUUUCCCAACUAAACUUUGGCUGCUUUGGUAUUUGUUAAAGAAGCAAACUCAGAAAUAGGCUUUCAAGGAUUGGAAUGUGAGUUUGUUAAUCUAUUUGUCAUCUGAAAGUUGUGACUUUUUUGCCAGUGAA
rnacentral:lncRNA from 1 species